UACGUAGGUGACCAGCGUUGUCCGGAUUUACUGGGCGUAAAGAGCGCGCAGGCGGUCGUUCAAGUCGAGUGUGAAAGCCCCCGGCUCAACUGGGGAGGGUCAUUCGAUACUGAUCGACUUGAAGGCAGGAGAGGGAAGUGGAAUUCCCGGUGUAGUGGUGAAAUGCGUAGAUAUCGGGAGGAACACCAGUGGCGAAGGCGGCUUUCUGGACGAUAACUGACGCUGAUGCGCGAAAGCGUGGGGAAGCAAACAGGG
rnacentral:rRNA from 1 species